UACAGAGGGUGCAAGCGUUAAUCGGAGUUACUGGGCGUAAAGGGCGCGUAGGCGGUUUUUUAAGUGAGAUGUGAAAUCCCCGGGCUUAACCUGGGAACUGCAUCUUAAACUGGAAAGCUGGAGUACUGUAGAGGGCAGUGGAAUUUCCGGUGUAGCGGUGAAAUGCGUAGAGAUCGGAAGGAACACCAGUGGCGAAGGCGACUGUCUGGACAGAUACUGACGCUGAGGCGCGAAAGCGUGGGGAGCAAACAGG
rnacentral:rRNA from 1 species